GAUGAAGAACGCAGCGAAAUGCGAUACGAAGUGUGAAUUGCAGAAUUCAGUGAAUCAUCGAAUCUUUGAACGCACAUUGCGCCCUUUGGUAUUCCAAAGGGCAUGCCUGUUCGAGCGUCAUUUGUACCCUCAAGCUUUGCUUGGUGUUGGGCGUCUUGUCUCCAGUCCGCUGGAGACUCGCCUUAAAGUCAUUGGCAGCCGGCCUACUGGUUUCGGAGCGCAGCACAAGUCGCACUCUUUUCCAGCCAAGGUCAGUGUCCAACAAGCCUUUUUUCAACUUUUGACCUCGGAUCAGGUAGGGAUACCCGCUGAACUUAAGCAUAUCAAUAAGCGGAGGA
rnacentral:misc_RNA from 1 species